ACCCGCCCUGCAUUUAAUGUGCCCAGGAAAUUCAGAGAGAGAGAAAUGGCGGGAUGUUUGGCAUCAAGUACCGCCCCCACUUCCCCAGUCCCCAUCAAGCUUGAAUUUGCUUUCAGCUUGAAAAGAUAGGACUGCUUUUACAUUUUGGAUAGAAUAAAAGAGCAGAAAUAAAAGAAGGCUUGCUGCUACCAGAAAGUCAUUAAGGCAUUAGUUUCUCUAAGAAGACAGAUCUGAAGAAUGUGCAAGAAAAUGAGAAAAAAAUAAAAACAAGGCUCAGAAAACAAUAACAGCAGCCUAUCUACAUUGUGCUUUACAGUCUACAGUGUGCAUUCAUAUUUAACACUUUGGACUGAACAUUUGACACUUUGGAGUGAAUAGAUAUAAUUAUCCUCAGUUUACAGGUGGGAAAAUGAAGGCACAGAAAAGAUGAAGAAAUGAAGGCUCGGAAUGGACAAGUAACUUAUCGAAGGACACAUAGCUAAGUGGUAAUAGUUGGAUUUUGAACUUAGACCGUUUGGCACUUGAUUCUAUUUUACUACAUUACACUGCUGCCUAUUAGAAAGUUCAAUCACUGAUCAUAUUGCCUAACAAAUAAUAAAUUCAUUAUAAACAUUUAUUGAAUGAAUGAGAAUGAAUGAAUUAAUGUUGAUACGGGUUAAACUUGUAGGACAAUCUCACUAUGCUAGUAUUGUUAUAAAGAAGAAAACUAGGUAAUUAUUCAUUACACUUAAUCCAUGUUGAUGACCAGGCCAAGUCAAACACUCAUUUAUGACUCAAUAUUAUCUUCUUUUUUUGACCAGCUAUUAUAAUUACCUAAACCAUUCACUGAGAAUUUCCUAAAACAAAGCAAAAAGAAGAAGGUAUAGUAUCAGAUAAAUUUGGUAUCUAACUCAAGACCAAUAUUUCACAUUUCAAAUUAUUCCACGGACCAGUAUAAUCUAAAUUUAUUACUAAAGAUGCCAACAGACAUGGAGAAGAGAAAAAAAUUAAGAAAGUCAUAAUAUAACCACUGUCAAAGCAGAUGGGGUGGAAAGGAAUCUAGGAACUAUACAUUUGACUUUCUGGACUAAUCCAUGAGAUUAUUGUUUAGACGGAUUGCUCUAUACUGCAUAAUUCAAGUUUUACCUCAUACUAUUUGUAUGUGUUUCUCUCUGUCCAUCUGUAUUGAGUUUUCUAGUUUGACAAUGGACAUUAUUCUGGUGAGCUGGCUAAUUUCCAAGACUCCCUUUUAUUUCAUAACAGAUAGAAUUAGCCACAAUUUCUAUUUCACACUGCCUAUGUGUAGACACAGGGAUCACUCAAUUUGCAAGAAGAAAAAUAAGUUACCGUG
rnacentral:lncRNA from 10 species